UUUUAUACAAACCACAAACCAGAACACUUCACAUCUUUUUAUUCUAAACUCUAUUCACAUCAAAAUGGAGAUAUCAAAGAAGAUAAAGUUUCAGUCCAUCUUGGCCGUACUCACGGCCCCUCUCGAGAUUGUCUUCUUCUCCCAAAAAUCCUUCUCCAACUCUUCCACCUCAGCUCCUUAGCGGGGUCCUGAAAUGGUUUUCCCCAAACUGGGAUGAGACUACGUCUCAGCGAGUUCUACCGCACUAAGCCCAAUUAGUAAACCAUUAUACUAAAGGCUGCCUAAACACGCAUAGGUCAGAAGACAUACCUUAGCAUCAGAUCCCACCUGCAAGUCAGUACAAUUCACAAUAGGCACUCAAGCAAUCGUAUCACCGAUCAAAGCAUCGAUCAAAUCGACCUAGUCGAUUACAAGUCAACAAGACCACUCACGGUCAUUCCCAUUCAGUCAAUCAAUUCACAACAUCAAAUCAAAACAAUGAUCAAUCGACCUCGUCGAUUACAUGUCAACCUGACCAUUUUCCGGUCAUUCAAGCUAUUGCUAUUCAGAGUCCCACUCAGCAACAUUCCAUAUUUAAUGGCUUUACGGUCCCACUCGACCACUUGCAAGAUUCAAUGGCUUUACGGUCCCACUCGACCACUUUCAAGAUUCAAUGGCUUUACGGUCCCACUCGACCACUUUCAAGAUUCAAUGGCUUUACGGUCCCACUCGACCACUUGCAAGAUUCAAUGGCUUUACGGUCCCACUCGACCACUUUCAAGAUUCAAUGGCUUUACGGUCCCACUCGACCACUUGCAAGAUUCAAUGGCUUUACGGUCCCACUCGACCACUUGCAAGAUUCAAUGGCUUUACGGUCCCACUCGACCACUUGCAAGAUUCAAUGGCUUUACGGUCCCACUCGACCACUUUCAAGAUUCAAUGGCUUUACGGUCCCACUCGACCACUUGCAAGAUUCAAUGGUUUCUCAACGAAAUAAUUAACCACAAUUUCCACAUUCAAUUCAAUUUGGCACAAUUCAAAGCUCAAAUAAAUAAACAGACUGCGCCACGACAAUCGGCACGAGAUUUCGGUCGUCGGCCAUCUCAAUUUCAAUUUCCGAAAAUAAUUAAUUUAUAAAUAUUAAAAUUUCCAUUUAGCUCAAAAUAACGCCCAAUUAAAAUAAACGGACUUCACCACGAUCAUCAGCAUAUAUUUCCGGUCACGGGCCAUCCCAGUUGAAUUUUCGGGAAAUAAAUAAUUAAUUAAUUAAUUUCGAAAAAUAAUAUUUAAAUGCCAAUAAUCCCACUUAGGCCCGAAUCGCCAAAUUGAAGCCCGAUUAGGGGUCGGAAAAUUCCCGAGAUGCUUCCUAUAAUUAGUAGACCACGUCUACUUGUUAAUUGCGCAAUCAAUUUAUUUAAAUCGCAUCACAAUUGACUAAUAAUUUCUAAUUUAUUCUAAUCUAACAACCUAAACAUAAUUAAUUAAAACUAAACCAACCUUAAAGCAUAAUUAGCCAACUAAUCCGAGAUUAGUGAGAUUACUCACCAAAUCACGCGCAAAUCGGAUCAAUCCGACGGGGGCGACGCGAGGAACGAAACUUCCCAAAGCACGGCUCGGGUUCGGGGCCCGGAAACGGCCCGAAACGGCCCACGAACCGGCUGAAACCCACUCGCGGGUUUGAUGGAUUGGCUGCAAAACAGAGAGAAAGAGAGAGGGUUGGGGGCGGCAAGAGGUCGGGAGAGCGGGCGAAGCUCCGGUGAGGCCGAACGGCGGCUCCGGCGGCCUGCUCAGCCGCUCACGGUGGCUGAACAGAAACCGAACGGGAGCUGGGUCGCACGGCAAGGACGGAAAGCGUAGGCGGCGCGUGGGUGGCGAACGGCGGACGUGCGGCGUGCACGGGCGCACGGUGCGGCGGCGGGACAGGCGGCGACGGUGGCUGGCUUCUGCUUCCGAUCUCCUGCAGCUUCUGGUUCGCUCGCUUGCUUCGAGAAGAAGGAAGAAGAAAGAGUGACGAGAGAGAGAUUAGAGAGGGGAGGAGAGAGGAUAAGGCUUGACCGGUCAAAAUGAAAAGAGAGAGAG
rnacentral:lncRNA from 1 species